GCCGGGCACAGUAGCACGUGCCUGUAGUCCCAACUACUCAGGAGGCUGAGGCUGGAGAAUCCCUUGAGUUCAGGAGUUCUGGGCUGUUGUGCGCUAUAUCGAUCAGGUGUCCGCACUAAGUUCGGCAUCGAUAUGGUGACCUCCCAGGAGCAGGGGACCACCAGGUUGCCUAAGGAGGGGUGAACCAGCCCAGGUCGGAAACAGAGCAGGUUAAAACUCCCAUGCUAAUCAGUAGUGGGACUGUGCCUGUGAACAGCCACUGCACUCCAGCCUGGGCAACAUAGUGAGACCCUGCCUCU
rnacentral:SRP_RNA from 1 species